UACGUAGGGUGCGAGCGUUAAUCGGAAUUACUGGGCGUAAAGCGUGCGCAGGCGGUUGCAUAAGACAGAUGUGAAAUCCCCGGGCUCAACCUGGGAACUGCGGUUGUGACUGUGCGACUGGAGUACGGUAGAGGGGGGUGGAAUUCCUGGUGUAGCAGUGAAAUGCGUAGAUAUCAGGAGGAACAUCGAUGGCGAAGGCAGCCCCCUGGACCUGUACUGACGCUCAUGCACGAAAGCGUGGGGAGCAAACAGG
rnacentral:rRNA from 1 species